rnacentral:tRNA from 1 species
UCCGAAUUGGUGUAGUGGCUAACAUUUGACGCUCUCAAGAUUUAACAAUGAACCGUCAAGCCCGGGGUUCGAUUCCCCGAUUCGGAG